rnacentral:lncRNA from 1 species
CCGCCUGCCUUGGCCUCCCAAAGUGCCGGGAUUGCAGACGGAGUCUCGCUUACUCAGUGCUCAAUGUUGCCCAGGCUGGAGUGCAGUGGCGUGAUCUCGGCUUGCUACAACAUCCAUCUCCCAGCCGCCUGCCUUGGCCUCCCAAAGUGCCGAGAUUGCAGCCUCUGCCCUGCCGCCACCCAGUCUGGGAAGUGAGGAGCGUCUCUGCCUGGCUGCCCGUCUCUGGGAUGUGAGGAGACCCUCUGCCUGGCCGCCCAGUCUGGGAAGUGAGGAGCGCCUCUUCCUGGCCGCCAUCCCAUCUAGGAAGUGAGGAGCGUCUCUGGCCGGCUGCCCAUCGCCUGAGAUGUGAGGAGUGCCUCGGCCAGGCCGUGAACCUGUCUGGGAUCUGAGGAGUGUCUCUGCCUGACCGCCACCCCGUCUGGGAGAGACUGUUACAUUUAAAGAAUGCAUCAAAUAGCACAUACCCAGUGGCAGGAGAAAUCGAAGAUGAUUUGGAGGUUUCAAACCAGGGAGAUAUACGGCCACUCAGGAAAAGCAGGAAGAAAAUGUGGAGCUUGAGAUUUCAGCAGAGGCUGACCCAUCAAGUGGAAUCCUGUGGCCAAGAAGCAGCUCCGGCAGAAAGUCAGAGAGAGAGGAGAGUGAGGAUAAGAAAGAGGGAAGACAGCACUUGAAAGGAAAGAGGGUAAAGAAGAGGAAGGGAGGUUACAAUUGAGAGCACUGCAGAAGGAAGCGAUGCAGAUGUUGCCGCCCGGCUCUGGCAGUCCGAAGGAGCAACCCCACGCAUAGGUGUUUCAGAUUCAGGAUAAACAAGAUAGACAAGCCUUGUUCCUGCCCUUAAGAAGCCCAGGACGAGGAAUACAGACAAAUAACACAUUAUUGAAAUGCCCUGAUAAGUGCUUUUCAUAGAUAAUACUAUGGAAUUACAGAGGAGGGGCACUUAAUCCAGACUGGGAGGGGCAUAAAAGGUAUCCUUGAAGAAAUCAUAGCUAAACUUGAGGAAUGCACUACUUCCCAUAACAAGAAGUUCUACAUUGGGACCACACCACUCCAGGAUUGAUUCAUUCAAUGGCUCAUAAAUCUGCCAUCCUCAGGACCCAGUGAUGUCCAAGGACUGAAAAGGAUUGUGUGUCUCUACUUAUUAGCUUGAGAAACCUUGCCAGAGGUCCUUGGACGCUUUCUACCUAUUUGCCCAAAUUAGAUAUAUCCCUGGCAAGGUGAAUGAGUGCCUUAGAUCAGUCCCAAUUCCCUUCUGUAGGCCUGAAGCUAGAGAGACUUAGCAGGAAGAUGGAACUUACCCAAAAGUAGAGCUCUGCCAGCAUGGGAAAAAGGAAAAGUGCCUGCAACAGGAAAAACAACAAAGAGAGAGAGGUGGAGAGGAACACGCCAAAGAAAGAGAGAGAGCCCACACUAUCCUAAGCUCCUGAAUGCACUGUGACAUCCAGGUGUCCUGGGGAAGACAUAAACACAUCAUACAGCACCCACAGGAACUUCAAGAGACUGGAGUUAAUAAAGAGAUUAAAG